UAUCUAUUUUUUUAACGUCAUUAAGGCCCGGUCUUUUCACCUCCGAAUAAAUAUGCUCUUAUCUGGCAGUUAGCUAUCUGGAGGAUAAAUAUUUAUUCGCCAGAUAAAAUGUACCCGUCUUUUCACGUCAAUUUAUGUUCCAGUUAGUUAUCCGGUAGAUAAGCUUAAAAAAAGAAAACAUUGAUUAUGCUGAAAUAGUUUACUGGAGAGCUUGAACAAGAGGUAAAUCCAUUUUAAAUUAGAGGAAAACUGUUGAUUUGUAUGUAAAAUAGAAGACAAAGACAAGUUUAAAUAAAGACAAGCUAGCUAAUGAAACAGAUGCAGUGAUAUGACAAACACCUAGAAGAUGGAAUCCUGUGUUCUCAUAGAAAAAGCUAGUUCCAGAAAUAAGCUACCAAUAAUAAACUAGAGAAUGUAUUACAAGAAAGAACAACGCUAAUACUCAACAUAGCUCAAUUGCUUCAGAUAGAAAAAGAGGAGGAAAGGGUAGAACACAAGCGUGCCAGAGAAAAUGAAAGGGCAGAAGAGACAAAAAUUCAUUGAUUUAUUAAAUUUAAUAAUUAAAUUAUACAAAGGACAAUUAAAUAAAGAAUAAAAAAAUUA